rnacentral:rRNA from 1 species
UGGGGAAUAUUGCACAAUGGGCGAAAGCCUGAUGCAGCAACGCCGCGUGAGGGACGACGGCCUUCGGGUUGUAAACCUCUUUUAGCAAGGAAGAAGCGAAAGUGACGGUACUUGCAGAAAAAGCGCCGGCUAACUACGUGCCAGCAGCCGCGGUAAUACGUAGGGCGCAAGCGUUAUCCGGAAUUAUUGGGCGUAAAGAGCUCGUAGGCGGUUUGUCGCGUCUGCUGUGAAAACCCGAGGCUCAACCUCGGGCCUGCAGUGGGUACGGGCAGACUAGAGUGCGGUAGGGGAGAUUGGAACUCCUGGUGUAGCGGUGGAAUGCGCAGAUAUCAGGAAGAACACCGAUGGCGAAGGCAGAUCUCUGGGCCGUAACUGACGCUGAGGAGCGAAACGGGUGGGGAGCAAACAGGCUUAGAUACCCUGGUAGUCCACCCCGUAAACGUUGGGAACUAGUUGUGGGGUCCAUUCCACGGAUUCCGUGACGCAGCUAACGCAUUAAGUUCCCCG